rfam:Macaca mulatta chromosome 20, whole genome shotgun sequence.
UGGCGCCCGAACAGGGACCUGGAAACGAGGGACUCCGUGAGGAAGAGGACGCCAAAGGACGGUCGACCGCUAACGAAGACAAAAGGAGUCAAACUCUUCCAAUCACCGCGGGAACCUGCCGCGUCAGAAUCGAAGGUAAGUGACGCUUCCGAAAUGGGACAAGAAUUAAGCCAACAUCAAAUAUAUGUAGGACAAUUAAAAGAGGCUUUAAAGAUACGAGGAGUAAAGGUUAAAGGUAAUGAUUUGUUUAAAUUUUUUGAUUUUGUAAAAGACACUUGCCCUU